AGGGAUGCAGCAACACAGCAGCUUGAAUCAACUCCACCUUUGCAAGGUCAACCACAACCUUGGCUCCCCAGCAAAUGCCUACAGCUCCAAUCGCUGAGAUACCUUUAUUUUUCAGAGCUUCAACUACUGGUUUCGCAUCAUCAAAACCCUUGUCAAGUCCAUGAUCUUGAAGCCAAUCUCGAAUUGGCCUAUUAGCAUCAUCUGGA
rnacentral:misc_RNA from 1 species